rnacentral:tRNA from 1 species
GCCGGGGUACCCUAGCCAGAGGGCCCAGCGCCCGGCGAAGCAAGGGGCCGGACUCGAGAUCCGGUGGCCCUCACGGGCCUCGUGGGUUCGAAUCCCACCCCCGGCGCCA